UGAAGUCUAGACAUCUUUACCCUAGAGGUGCCUUCAUGAGUGGUCUUGAGAAUGUCUCAAGCAUCUUUGGCCACUUCACAGUUGUUUACCAGCCUGAAAAUAUUCUUGUCUACCCCAUUGAAUAUUGCAUUCAAUGUUUUAGAGUUUCCAAGAGAAAGAUCAUCCUCUUCCUUGGACCAUUGUUCUUCAGGUUUCUUCUCAGUAGUGGUUUCUCCUUCUUUAGUAAUGACAGGAUGCACCCAACCU
rnacentral:lncRNA from 1 species